rnacentral:rRNA from 2 species
CAGUCGAACGACUCUGGUAUUGAUUGGUGCUUGCAUCAUGAUUUACAUUUGAGUGAGUGGCGAACUGGUGAGUAACACGUGGGAAACCUGCCCAGAAGCGGGGGAUAACACCUGGAAACAGAUGCUAAUACCGCAUAACAACUUGGACCGCAUGGUCCGAGUUUGAAAGAUGGCUUCGGCUAUCACUUUUGGAUGGUCCCGCGGCGUAUUAGCUAGAUGGUGGGGUAACGGCUCACCAUGGCAAUGAUACGUAGCCGACCUGAGAGGGUAAUCGGCCACAUUGGGACUGAGACACGGCCCAAACUCCUACGGGAGGCAGCAGUAGGGAAUCUUCCACAAUGGACGAAAGUCUGAUGGAGCAACGCCGCGUGAGUGAAGAAGGGUUUCGGCUCGUAAAACUCUGUUGUUAAAGAAGAACAUAUCUGAGAGUAACUGUUCAGGUAUUGACGGUAUUUAACCAGAAAGCCACGGCUAACUACGUGCCAGCAGCCGCGGUAAUACGUAGGUGGCAAGCGUUGUCCGGAUUUAUUGGGCGUAAAGCGAGCGCAGGCGGUUUUUUAAGUCUGAUGUGAAAGCCUUCGGCUCAACCGAAGAAGUGCAUCGGAAACUGGGAAACUUGAGUGCAGAAGAGGACAGUGGAACUCCAUGUGUAGCGGUGAAAUGCGUAGAUAUAUGGAAGAACACCAGUGGCGAAGGCGGCUGUCUGGUCUGUAACUGACGCUGAGGCUCGAAAGUAUGGGUAGCAAACAGGAUUAGAUACCCUGGUAGUCCAUACCGUAAACGAUGAAUGCUAAGUGUUGGAGGGUUUCCGCCCUUCAGUGCUGCAGCUAACGCAUUAAGCAUUCCGCCUGGGGAGUACGGCCGCAAGGCUGAAACUCAAAGGAAUUGACGGGGGCCCGCACAAGCGGUGGAGCAUGUGGUUUAAUUCGAAGCUACGCGAAGAACCUUACCAGGUCUUGACAUACUAUGCAAAUCUAAGAGAUUAGACGUUCCCUUCGGGGACAUGGAUACAGGUGGUGCAUGGUUGUCGUCAGCUCGUGUCGUGAGAUGUUGGGUUAAGUCCCGCAACGAGCGCAACCCUUAUUAUCAGUUGCCAGCAUUAAGUUGGGCACUCUGGUGAGACUGCCGGUGACAAACCGGAGGAAGGUGGGGAUGACGUCAAAUCAUCAUGCCCCUUAUGACCUGGGCUACACACGUGCUACAAUGGAUGGUACAACGAGUUGCGAACUCGCGAGAGUAAGCUAAUCUCUUAAAGCCAUUCUCAGUUCGGAUUGUAGGCUGCAACUCGCCUACAUGAAGUCGGAAUCGCUAGUAAUCGCGGAUCAGCAUGCCGCGGUGAAUACGUUCCCGGGCCUUGUACACACCGCCCGUCACACCAUGAGAGUUUGUAACACCCAAAGUCGGUGGGGUAA